AGCUCCCGAAGUUCCUCAGUCA
rnacentral:antisense_RNA from 1 species